rnacentral:rRNA from 1 species
GAUGAACGCUAGCUACAGGCUUAACACAUGCAAGUCGAGGGGCAGCGGUAUCGAAAGCUUGCUUUCGGUAGCCGGCGACCGGCGCACGGGUGAGUAACGCGUAUCGAACCUGCCUCAUACUCGGGAAUAGCCUUGCGAAAGUAAGAUUAAUGCCCGGUGUUUUCAGAGUCCAGCAUGAGGCUUUGAACAAAGAUUUAUCGGUCUGAGAUGGCGAUGCGUCCCAUUAGCUUGUUGGCGGGGUAACGGCCCACCAAGGCAUCGAUGGGUAGGGGGUCUGAGAGGAAGGUCCCCCACAUUGGAACUGAGACACGGUCCAAACUCCUACGGGAGGCAGCAGUGAGGAAUAUUGGUCAAUGGGCGGAAGCCUGAACCAGCCAAGUAGCGUGCAGGAAGACGGCCCUCCGGGUUGUAAACUGCUUUUAGUUGGGAAUAAAACGGGGCUCGUGAGCCCCCUUGCAUGUACCAUCAGAAAAAGGACCGGCUAAUUCCGUGCCAGCCGCCGCGGUAA